GGAUAACCGUGGUAAUUCUAGAGCUAAUACAUGCUAAAAACCCCAACUUCGGGAGGGGUGUAUUUAUUAGAUAAAAAACCAAUGCCCUUCGGGGCUCCUUGGUGAUUCAUGAUAACUUCUCAGAUCGCAUGGCUUUACGCCGGCGACGGUUCAUUCAAAUUUCUGCCCUAUCAACUUUCGAUGGUAAGGUAUUGGCUUACCAUGGUUUCAACGGGUAACGGGGAAUUAGGGUUCGAUUCCGGAGAGGGAGCCUGAGAAACGGCUACCACAUCCAAGGAAGGCAGCAGGCGCGCAAAUUACCCAAUUCCGAUACGGAGAGGUAGUGACAAUAAAUACUGAUACAGGGCUCUUUUGGGUCUUGUAAUUGGAAUGAGUACAAUUUAAACCUCUUAACGAGGAACAAUUGGAGGGCAAGUCUGGUGCCAGCAGCCGCGGUAAUUCCAGCUCCAAUAGCGUAUAUUAAAGUUGUUGCAGUUAAAAAGCUCGUAGUUGAACCUUUGGCCUGGCUGGCAGGUCCGCCUCACCGCGUGCACUUGACCGGCCGGGCCUUUUCUUCUGGAGAACCGCAUGCCCUUCACUGGGUGUGUUGGGGACCAGGACUUUUACUUUGAAAAAAUUAGAGUGUUCAAAGCAGGCCUUUGCUCGAAUACGUUAGCAUGGAAUAAUAGAAUAGGACGUGCGGUCCUAUUUUGUUGGUUUCUAGGACCGCCGUAAUGAUUAAUAGGGACAGUCGGGGGCAUCAGUAUUCAAUUGUCAGAGGUGAAAUUCUUGGAUUUAUUGAAGACUAACUACUGCGAAAGCAUUUGCCAAGGAUGUUUUCAUUAAUCAGUGAACGAAAGUUAGGGGAUCGAAGACGAUCAGAUACCGUCGUAGUCUUAACCAUAAACUAUGCCGACUAGGGAUCGG
rnacentral:rRNA from 1 species